AUGUUAAUCUCCUUGUCUACCCCAUUUCCUAAUCUUAGCGGGUGUUUCAAUUCAAAGAGAACUUACGUUUUAAUAAUCGUGGUGUUUCUUGGUUCUAUCUCUUUUCUUAACCCAUAAAAUAUCAUAACAAAAGAGAACUUACGUUUUAAUAAUCGUGGUGUUUCUUGGUUCUAUCUCUUUGUCUUAGUGGAAAACACAUUGUAGAAGAGAAAAACACAUAACAGAAUAUAAAGGUCAAAACGAUUACUCUCUCUCUCUCUCUCUCUCUC
rnacentral:lncRNA from 1 species